rnacentral:rRNA from 1 species
CCUGGGGAGUACGGCCGCAAGGUUAAAACUCAAAUGAAUUGACGGGGGCCCGCACAAGCGGUGGAGCAUGUGGUUUAAUUCGAUGCAACGCGAAGAACCUUACCUGGUCUUGACAUCCUGGGAAUUUGGCAGAGAUACCUUAGUGCCUUCGGGAGCGCAGAGACAGGUGCUGCAUGGCUGUCGUCAGCUCGUGUUGUGAAAUGUUGGGUUAAGUCCCGUAACGAGCGCAACCCUUGUCCUUAGUUGCCAGCACGUAAUGCGGGAACUCUAAGGAGACUGCCGGUGACAAACCGGAGGAAGGUGGGGACGACGUCAAGUCAUCAUGGCCCUUACGAGUAGGGCUACACACGUGCUACAAUGGUCGGUACAAAGGGUUGCCAAGUCGCGAGGGGAAGCCAAUCCCGAAAAGCCAGUCGCAGUCCGGAUCGGAGUCUGCAACUCGACUCCGUGAAGUCGGAAUCGCUAGUAAUCGUGGAUCAGAAUGCCACGGUGAAUACGUUCCCGGGCCUUGUACACACCGCCCGUCACACCAUGGGAGUGGAUUGCACCA